rnacentral:rRNA from 1 species
UACGUAGGGUGCAAGCGUUGUCCGGAAUCAUUGGGCGUAAAGCGCGUGUAGGCGGUUCGAUAAGUCUGCUGUGAAAGUCCAGGGCUCAACCCUGGGAUGCCGGUGGAUACUGUCGGGCUAGAGUGCGGAAGAGGCGAGUGGAAUUCCUGGUGUAGCGGUGAAAUGCGCAGAUAUCAGGAGGAACACCAAUUGCGAAGGCAGCUCGCUGGGACGUUACUGACGCUGAGACGCGAAAGCGUGGGGAGCAAACAGG